CACGUAGGGCGCGAGCGUUGUCCGGAAUUAUUGGGCGUAAAGAGCUCGUAGGCGGCCUGUUGCGUCCGCUGUGAAAGCCCGGGGCUUAACCCCGGGUCUGCAGUGGAUACGGGCAGGCUAGAGGUAGGUAGGGGAGAAUGGAAUUCCCGGUGUAGCGGUGAAAUGCGCAGAUAUCAGGAGGAACACCGGUGGCGAAGGCGGGUCUCUGGGCCGAUAUUGACGCUGAGGAGCGAAAGCAUGGGGAGCGAACAGG
rnacentral:rRNA from 1 species